rnacentral:rRNA from 1 species
AUUGAACGCUGGCGGAAUGCUUUACACAUGCAAGUCGAACGAUGAACCUUAGCUUGCUAAGGGGAUUAGUGGCGAACGGGUGAGUAAUGUAUCGGAACGUAUCCAAUAAUGGGGGAUAACUAGUCGAAAGAUUAGCUAAUACCGCAUACGUCCUACGGGAGAAAGCUAGGGACCUUCGGGCCUGGCGUUAAUGGAGCGGCCGAUAUCUGAUUAGCUAGUUGGUGGGGUAAAGGCUCACCAAGGCGACGAUCAGUAGCUGGUCUGAGAGGACGACCAGCCACACUGGAACUGAAACACGGUCCAGACUCCUACGGGAGGCAGCGGUGGGGAAUUUUGGAAAAUGGGCGAAAGCCUGAUCCAGCCAUUCCGCGUGAGUGAAGAAGGCCUUCGGGUUGUAAAGCUCUUUCGCAAGGGAAGAAAACUUAAGCUCUAACAUAGCUUGAGGUUGACGGUACCUUGAUAAGAAGCACCGGCUAACUACGUGCCAGCAGCCGCCGUAA